AUUUGAACGUGUUUUUCAGUUCAAGGACUGAACUGAGCAGUUCUGCUACAGAAACAACUUUAGCUUUCAUCAGUACAGAAGAGGCUGUGUCUGCAAGAUAAAGAAAGGCAAGUUACCCAAGAGGAAUGCUCCUUCAUCUGGUGCUGGUUGCUGUGAGGCCCACUGGCAUGGCCACGCCAAAAGCAGUUUUGGCAGAGCUGGUAGUUGUGGCACUGUUGGCACCGAUAUCGGAACCCCAUCAUGCUCUCACACCGGCAAUAGGAACACUCCACAGGAUGGAAGACUUG
rnacentral:lncRNA from 1 species